GUAUGUUGAAUUCGAUUCGUGAUUUCGUACAUAAGUGACUCUAAUGUCUAAUGUAUAUAUCGGCUAAGUACCUUGAGCUUCUCUUUUGAUGUUCGAAUGAAUUGUAUUAAAUUGUUGAUGUGAUUAAAAAUGCGUAUGAUCAUUGUGUAUUUGAGCUAAAAGGUGGCCAUAUGACCUAUCAAACUCCUUGUCAUAUUCGGCCAUAAGCUAGCAAAAUGAGACUUUGAUAAGUUAAAUUUGUUUGAAUUAGCUCAAGAGCUUAGGGGACCACAGUUGGAUAAGGGAAAGGAAAAAGUGAUCGAAUAGCCGUUGAAGCCGUUCGACAACAUACGAGAUUUUGGCUCGUCAGCUAUCGGACUCGGGAUUUUUGGAAGUCGAAGUCUCCCACACUAUCAAAGCCCCUUUUGGUACAAUUUUGGUUGAACUUUGAAAUGGCAUGUAUAGGACUACCCUUUUUGUUGUUGGUCAUGUACCCAUGGAUUUUGUGUAAAUUUGGAUAGCCAUGCGAAAAUGGCUUAUAUACGUUUUUAGCAUAGUACUAUAAUCGUUUUGUAUGUUGAUCACUAAGAGGUAUGGAAAUGCUUGGAAACGAUUAGCCAUUGGAAUGGUUAAUCAUGAUUA